UAACUAGAUAAUUAUAAUUAUAUGAAAAUCCGUAAACUUUAAAAAAGUUUUGAGGGUUCGAGUCCCUU
rnacentral:tRNA from 1 species